rnacentral:rRNA from 1 species
CAGUCGCCGCGGGAAUACGUAGGUGGCAAGCGUUGUCCGGAAUUAUUGGGCGUAAAGGGCUCGCAGGCGGUUUCUUAAGUCUGAUGUGAAAGCCCCCGGCUCAACCGGGGAGGGUCAUUGGAAACUGGGAAACUUGAGUGCAGAAGAGGAGAGUGGAAUUCCACGUGUAGCGGUGAAAUGCGUAGAGAUGUGGAGGAACACCAGUGGCGAGGGCGACUCUCUGGUCUGUAACUGACGCUGAGGAGCGAAAGCGUGGGGAGCGAACAGGAUUAGAUACCCGUGUAGUCCCUGUCUCUUAUAC